UGUUCACGUUGAGAGCAGCUCGAUUUCUUUUUCCACGAGAUUCCAACCAGCCAAAGGAAAGCAGCACUGACAGCAAGAGCCCUGUGUGGCAGGAGCUGCUUUUGGUUUAGGGAAGACAAGCCUAUUCCCUUUUUUAAACAAAUAACAAUAUUUCUGGUUUGAACACACUCUUCAGCCUGGCAAAGCCUUGAAGAAGUGCAGCCACACAGUCUGAAGCUUCUCAAAUCUCCAGAAUCUCAGCGGUUGCAGAUUGAGAGCUAAAACUGAAGGUUGCAGUGAGGGGGUGCCAAGACAGAUGAAGUGCUUCCUACCUGGUUGAGGAGGAGGACUUCCUACCUGGGACUGCUAACUUAGAAAACGGAGAUCGCUUUCUGAAGUGGAUCAUUCUACAGAAGGCUUGGUUUCCCAGACACUGAAGCGCUUGGUCUCUGCUUGCAGCCUGACUUUCAUAGUGAGAUACAGUGAAAACUGUGAAGUAGAAUCCCACAUUAUAUGGU